GUUGAUAAUGAAUUUGCAAGAAAAAAUGUUGAAGUGCUAUCUCUUUUAAUGUGUUAUUGCAUUAUUAGAGAGAAACACUUAUUCAGAACAAUUUUCUCAGAACCACAAUGAGUUCCAGACAACUGUCGCAGUGGGUAUAGCUGGUUGCUCAUAAACCUCAUGACAUAAUUUCAGUUUCCAGUAGACGCAUAUUAUCUAUGAAUUCUUUUCUCAUUUCUGUAGUUAGAGUCUGGCAUAGGUAUGUCACACAGUGGCAGUAUAUAAAAUGUUAAACAAAAUAAGGAACAAUGAUGUCACUUGAAGCUAAAAGCAUACUUGGAUCUUUUCUGUAGAAUGCACAUAGUGGAAAUGGACACCUGUAGGAUGCUUUUUUCUCACUGCUACCUAUACCCAUGGCAGAGGUGUAUAUGCACAAACACAGUUGAUGUUGGGAGUGGCUAAAGAUGGCACUGACAUCUAGUGGUCGUUUGUGGUAUACAACCAUUAUAGCUGGCAUUUACAAGGCCAGGGUGAUAUGCAUGCUAAUAAGGUAUUUCAUACUCCACCAAUCCCCAGAGGAUAUGUUUACAGCUACUGUCUGUCUUGUACUUAAGGCGAGUGCCUUUGUUCCCCGGUCCCCCAUAUCAAGAAUGAGGUGUUCCUGCAAUAAAGGCUGUUGAGAAG
rnacentral:lncRNA from 1 species